GUAGGGAAUAUUGGACAAUGGGGGCAACCCUGAUCCAGCGACGCCGCGUGAGUGAUGAAGGCCUUCGGGUCGUAAAGCUCUGUUGCAGGGGAAGAACACAUUGACGGUACCCUGUGAGGAAGGAUCGGCUAACUUCGUGCCAGCAGCCGCGGUAAGACGAGGGAUCCUAGCGUUGCUCGGAAUCAUUGGGCGUAAAGAGGGCGUAGGUGGCUUGGUAAGUCAGGUGUGAAAGCCCAGGGCUCAACCCUGGAAGUGCAUUUGAUACUGCUGAGCUUGAGUGUCGGAGAGGUUACCGGAAUACCUGGUGUAGUGGUGAAAUACGUAGAUAUCAGGUGGAACACCGGAGGCGAAGGCGGGUAACUGGACGAACACUGACACUGAGGCCCGAAAGCGUGGGGAUCAAACAGGAUUAGAAACCCCGGUAGUCC
rnacentral:rRNA from 1 species